GAUGAACGCUAGCUACAGGCUUAACACAUGCAAGUCGAGGGGCAGCAUGGUCUUAGCUUGCUAAGGCCGAUGGCGACCGGCGCACGGGUGAGUAACACGUAUCCAACCUGCCGUCUACUCUUGGACAGCCUUCUGAAAGGAAGAUUAAUACAAGAUGGCAUCAUGAGUCCGCAUGUUCACAUGAUUAAAGGUAUUCCGGUAGACGAUGGGGAUGCGUUCCAUUAGAUAGUAGGCGGGGUAACGGCCCACCUAGUCUUCGAUGGAUAGGGGUUCUGAGAGGAAGGUCCCCCACAUGGGAACUGAGACACGGUCCAAACUCCUACGGGAGGCAGCAGUGAGGAAGAGUGGUCAAUGGGCGAGAGCCUGAACCAGCCAAGUAGCGUGAAGGAUGACUGCCCUAUGGGUGGUAAACUUCUUUUAUAAAGGAAUAAAGUCGGGUAUGGAUACCCGUUUGCAUGUACUUUAUGAAUAAGGAUCGGCUAACUCCGUG
rnacentral:rRNA from 1 species